CGGAUCGGAGUCUGCAACCCGACUCCGUGAAGCUGGAUUCGCUAGUAAUCGCGCAUCAGCCAUGGCGCGGUGAAUACGUUCCCGGGCCUUGUACACACCGCCCGUCAAGCCAUGGGAGCCGGGGGGUGCUUGAAGUGCGUCGCCGCAAGGCGCGCCCUAGAGCAAAACCGGUGACUGGGGCUAAGUCGUAACAAGGUAUC
rnacentral:rRNA from 1 species